GCGGGGUGUGGGUUCCGUCCACCCCAGGGCGGCGCGGUGCACGCCGGGAGUCGGAGGCGCCACGGGGCCUGCAUCCCGGCGGCCCCGGGCGGCGCAGUGCACGCCGGGAAUUGGAGUCCCGCCGGCCCGGCCUGACCUGUUGCUGCCUCCCUGGGCGGGUGUCCCGGGGGCUGAGGACAGGGACGGGGAUGGCGCGGCCUGGACGGGGAUGGCGCGGCCAGGCCGGGGCGCCUGCGCAGACGGCCGGGGCCGGCGACAAGCUGGGGAAAGCGGGGAGUAUGCAUAAGCUUAAAUCAUCUCAGAAGGACGAGGUCCACCAGCUCAUGGCAUUCACUCAGGCUGGUGAGAGAACUGCCAUCUGGCGCUCAGCCCAAAGUGAGUGGAAACUGGACGCGCCACGGACAGCUUCUUCCAGAACCCGGCCUCGUUCCACAAGGACUCCAUGCGAACCUCCGUGGACAGGAAGACGCUGGAGCCGCUGUAUAACUGGUACAAAGGUCUGUCGUGGUAGGAGCGCAGGCUUGAGUCAGGAGGUGUGUGGGAACCUCUGUCCUAUGAGCCCACAGCGGCAGGUUCUCUCGGACACAGGAGCGUAG
rnacentral:lncRNA from 1 species